rnacentral:rRNA from 1 species
UACGGGGGGGGGCAAGCGUUGUUCGGAAUUACUGGGCGUAAAGGGCUCGUAGGUGGCCAACUAAGUCGGACGUGAAAUCCCUCGGCUUAACCGGGGAACUGCGUCCGAUACUGGUUGGCUUGAGUUUGGGAGAGGGAUGCGGAAUUCCAGGUGUAGCGGUGAAAUUCGUAGAUAUCGGGAGGAACACCGGUGGCGAAGGCGGCGACCUGGUAGAUACUGACGCUGAGGCGCGAA